rnacentral:tRNA from 1 species
UCCCUGGUGGUCCAGUGGCUAAAACUCUGAGCUACCAAUGCAGAAGUCCUAGGUUUGAUCCCUGGUCAGGGAG